rnacentral:rRNA from 1 species
AUGGGCGAGGAGCCGACCGCCACCGCCAAGGGCAACCCCACCGGCGGGUCGCUGACCACCACCAAGGCCACCAUCGCGGAGUCCAAGGCCAGUCCCCCCGCCGCCUUGCUGCCCGCCGUCAUCAACGGCAGCACCCCCGAGGCCUUGCCGCCCGACGCCACGGACACCGCCAAGGCCAUGCUCUCCAGCGUCGACGCCGCCAAGGGCGCGAACCACGCCGACGACGAGCCGACCGCCACCAUGGAUGCCGUCAAGGGCAGCCCCACCGGUGUCUUGCUGGCCACCUCCAAGGGCACGGGCUCCAUGGCCACCAUGGGCGCCGCCGACGGCAGUGCCCCCGACGCCUCGGUGCCCGCCGCCAUGGACAUCGCCGACCCCAAGGGCAGCACCGCCGACGGCAGUGCCCCCGACGCCUUGGUGCCCGCCGCCAUGGACAUCGCCGACCCCAAGGGCAGCACCGCCGACGGCAGUUCCCCCGACGCCAUGGUGCCCGACGCCAUGGACAUCGCCGACCCCAAGGGCAGCACCGCCGACGGCUUCCAGCCCACGGCCAUGGACACGGGCUCGCACUCCAGCGUGGACGCCAAGGGCACGGACCACGACGACGUGCUGGCCAGCGCCGCCAAGGGCGCGAACGCCGUCGACACGCUGAACGCUGAUGUUGAUGCCGCCAACGUCGACAAGCUGCUGAAUGCUGAUGUGGAUGCCGCCAAGGGCUUCAACACCGACGACCCGCUGGCCGCUCGGCCACCAAAGUUUGAUAUCAAGGAAGUAAAGAGUCUAACUGCUAAGAAGGAUUGGCAAGGAAUUGAUGAACUCUUGUGCAAGUUUCUGGGUGAUUGCCUUGGGAAGGACCCCCAAGAUGCUGGCAUCAUCCAUCCAGGUCUACUCCUGAUACCACGCCAAGAAAAACUCAUACAACUGAUGCAGAACCAAGCAUUUGAGGAGGCUAAGAUUUUUUGUGAAAAGUUUAUUGAGCCUCUAAAGAAAUGUGAAUCUAAAUUCAGACCCUUGAGUCUAGAGUGGCGUAUUGAUGAGCUCAUCAUGAUUAUGAGGCAAAGGUCUGUUCCCGGAGGAAGCACUGUGGAUAUUGCAAGUUCAGUAUCAGACUAUAUGUUUCUGUAUUUCCCAAGGGCUAUGUGUGAUGAACCCAACCAUGCAGAAGAGGGUACAUGGCAGUUUGCCAUGAAAUUGCCAGUACAAACCAACCAGAUUUCUUCUACUGGCAAAGCUGUGAAACCGAGACAUGGGUUCAGGUGUCUAGCCUGUGGUUGGACAAUGGAUGGGACUAUAAGUAUCACUGGAUUAAAGAAGCAUAUUGUACACUCGAGGGAUGGAAAGUGCUGCCUUAAUGUGACUCAAGAUUUGCUUGACCGCAUGAAGUUGAUUGGCGGUUCAAAGGGUGUCCCUGACCUCUCUACUAUUGCUGCACUCUUCAAGGACAAGAAGAGGAAGGGAACUUCUUCAGGAUCGGCAGCAAAUCAGAAUACGGGAUCUUCUCGAUCUGCUGCCUGUGAGUCACCCUCUUCCGUUGUUGGUACCAGUAAGAAGAAGCUUAAGGUUGCUUCACCAACAGCAAGUUGCAACCUUCCAUCGUCACCACCGGCAGCAGCUGCGGUCCUUGCUGCUGAUGCAUCUUCCCGUGGGCUUGCAAAAAUCGUCACUGAGGAAGUGGUUACCUUGCGAAGGAUAGCUAAAUCCUUGCUUGAUCUGGCAGAGUCUGAAGAUCCUGAAGAUCCUGAUGUUAGCGCAGCAAUUGAGUUGGAGCAAGUGGCUUAUAAGCUGAUGAUGGCAGCUGCCAAUCGAAGGUCAGGUACCUCUUUGCCUGCCCAGAACAACGCACUGGCUCUGAGUGCGCCAAGCUCUGAAACGCUAUCCAAGACCGACAAAGUCUGA